CCUACGGGAGGCAGCAGUGAGGAAUAUUGGUCAAUGGACGAAAGGCGGAACCAGCCAAGUAGCGGGAAGGAAGAAGGCCCUAUGGGGUGUAAACUUCUUUUAUAGGGGAAUAAAGUGUUCCACGUGUGGGUUUUUGCAUGUACCAUAUGAAUAAGGAUCGGCUAACUCCGUGCCAGCAGCCGCGGUAAUACGGAGGAUCCGAGCGUUAUCCGGAUUUAUUGGGUUUAAAGGGUGCGUAGGUGGUUUGUUAAGUCAGUGGUGAAAGUUUGCGGCUCAACCGUAAAAUUGCCGUUGAAACUUGCAGUCUUGAGUGCGGUAGAGGUAGGCGGAAUGCGUGGUGUAGCGGUGAAAUGCUUAGAUAUCACGAAGAACUCCGAUUGCGAAGGCAGUUCACUGGACUGUAACUGACACUGAGGCACGAAAGUGUGGGUAUCAAACAGGAUUAGAUACCCGAGUAGUA
rnacentral:rRNA from 1 species